AAACAUGUUUUCAUCGACCAUGAAUAUGAUGACUCUUCCAGUGAUGAUGAAGGAAAUGAGAUCAACGGGCAUUACAAAGAGUUGAUUAUCAAGUCCGGUAACGAGCUUGAACCUUCCAUCUUGGACCCUAGAGAUGAAGCAACGGCCGAUAACUGGGUCGAGCGUAACGCUUCCAUGGUUCGUCUCACCGGCAAACACCCUUUCAACUCUGAACCUCCCUUGAACCGCCUCAUGCACCAUGGUUUCAUCACUCCUGUUCCUCUUCACUACGUUCGUAACCAUGGUCAAGUCCCUAAAGCUUCUUGGGAUGACUGGACCGUUGAAGUCGCCGGUUUAGUUAAACGACCGGUGAAGUUAACCAUGGAUCAACUGGU
rnacentral:lncRNA from 1 species